CAGCACGGGCUUCGGCCUGGUGGCGAGUGGCGAACGGGUGAGUAAUACAUCGGAACAUGUCCUGUAGUGGGGGAUAGCCCGGCGAAAGCCGGAUUAAUACCGCAUACGAUCUGAGGAUGAAAGCGGGGGACCUUCGGGCCUCGCGCUAUAGGGUUGGCCGAUGGCUGAUUAGCUAGUUGGUGGGGUAAAGGCCUACCAAGGCGACGAUCAGUAGCUGGUCUGAGAGGACGACCAGCCACACUGGGACUGAGACACGGCCCAGACUCCUACGGGAGGCAGCAGUGGGGAAUUUUGGACAAUGGGCGCAAGCCUGAUCCAGCAAUGCCGCGUGUGUGAAGAAGGCCUUCGGGUUGUAAAGCACUUUUGUCCGGAAAGAAAUCAUUCUGGCUAAUACCCGGAGUGGAUGACGGUACCGGAAGAAUAAGCACCGGCUAACUACGUGCCAGCAGCCGCGGUAAUACGUAGGGUGCGAGCGUUAAUCGGAAUUACUGGGCGUAAAGCGUGCGCAGGCGGUUUGCUAAGACCGAUGUGAAAUCCCCGGGCUCAACCUGGGAACUGCAUUGGUGACUGGCAGGCUAGAGUAUGGCAGAGGGGGGUAGAAUUCCACGUGUAGCAGUGAAAUGCGUAGAGAUGUGGAGGAAUACCGAUGGCGAAGGCAGCCCCCUGGGCCAAUACUGACGCUCAUGCACGAAAGCGUGGGGAGCAAACAGGAUUAGUAC
rnacentral:rRNA from 1 species